CACACUUCACAUUAUAUAAUAGAUACUGUCAUUCUUUUAAGCUCAAACUGACAAGUAUUAUCUUUGUUUCUUGCAGUUUUCGAUGUGGCCGGACACAACUGAAGAUCAUGGGAAAGAAAGAGCAGCCGUUUCUUGAGGAGCUUCCAAAAAAUGAAGCAGUGGACAUGCAAAAUGUGAAGGAACAGGAGAAUGAAAGAAUGAAGUUGUGGCAGAGAGAGAAACAGAAACUACAGGAAAGGGGUGAAAAAUUGCACCGAAAAGAAGAAGAAGUAAAAGAAAGAGAGCUGAUAGUUCAGCUCGGAGAGCAAGCGAUUCAGGAAAAAGUUACGCAACAAACAUAUGAGGAAAAGGAAUGGAGAAAAGAGAAAGAAAUCAUGAAAGAACAGCAGAGGAAAAACAAGGAAGAGGAAUUGAGGAAAAAAGAUGUGGAGGAGCAAAUUAAAAAACAACAUGAAGAGCAAAAGAAAAAAAACGUUUCAGAGUGGAGGAGAAUCGAGGAAGAAGAUCAGAGAGAACUCAUGGAAUUUGUACGAUGGAGGGAAUCCGUGUAUCAAGAACAUACACGAAGAUGCCUUGAGAUCGAACAAAAAGAGAAAGAGGUGCUAAAGAGUGAGCACGUGGUCAAUGAAUUGGAGAACAGGAUUACUCAACAUGAGGGAAUGGAGCGGGGAAAACGGGCACAGUUUGAAAAAAGGAACAGGUCAAAAGAACGGGAAAUAAAACAUCGAGAGGUUGAGACGUGCCGUCAAGAGGAAGAGAUUAGAGAACGAGAAAAGGAGGUUGAGAAAUUGCAGAGGGUGAUGUACCGACGAGAGGAGGAGGAGCGUUGGCAACAAGAGCAAUUCUUAGAGACAAAAAAAAUAAAAGAGGAAGACUUCUUCCGUCGAGAAAAAGAGGUACAUCAGCUGGAGCAGGAGAUUACUAAGAGGGAAAACGAUGUGCGCACACGCGAACUCAAGGUGUGGGAAGGUGAGGACAGGAAGGAAAAACCACAAGAACAGGAAAGGCAGAGACGAACAGAGGAAGAAGAGCAAAGAGUAGAACAGGAAAAGCAGAAACUACUCGAACAAGAAAAGCACAGACAAGUUCAACAGGAAAAUGAGACGGUAAGGAAUGAAGAACUCGAGAACCCCUUUCAGAAAUCCGACGAGACCAAAGAGGAGGCAGAAGCAAGUCUUGAUGUCGAGGAGGCAGAACAUGUGCAAAAAAUUGCUGAUCGUAAAUUGCAAGCAACAGCAAUUGACAAGCAACAGUGGAAUGACAAGCAACAGCUGACACAGCAAGUUGUUCAAGGGUUCCAGCAGAAACAGAGGCCUCACUCUGAUCGAAGACUGAAACAGCAGCAGAAGCAGCAUGGUGUUGAAGGGCCGCACCACAUUCAGGACCUUCAACAGACCCCUCAGAAGAGACGCCCGUUCCCUCCUCCACCUCCCUCAUACAAGAAACCAUCUUACCGGUUGGAACAGGAAGAAGUCAUAGUAAUGCCUGCUGGAGAGGAGGAUGCCAUGUUUGGGAGUGACUCAAUCAUCACUCGGCCAUAUAAGCUCUCAAGAAAUGCAAAAAGAUACGCCAGGCUCAUGCAGAUGGCUGAUUCAAGCUAUUUCAAAUGAGCAGUCGUCAUAACUAAGAGGAAGAAGUCACAGUCAUGUCCGCUGGAGAGGAGAAUGCCAUGUUUGGGAGUAACUCUCUCAUGACUCCACCACAUGAGCUGUGCAGAAAUGUAAAAAAGAAACACCAGGCUCUGACAGUUGGCCGAUUCAAGAUUUUUCAAAUGAACAGUCUCCAGAACUAAGGUACGAUAAACACUCGAUUGACUUAUUUCAUCACCUGGAUCCUUUUUGUGUCCAUGUUUGUCCUUCUUCAAAAUAUCAUGACGAGAACUUAAUAAUUCCGAGUGUGCAUAAUUUAAUAAUUUGAAUGAAUAUAUCAAGCAGGUGAGGUCCUUCCCUGAUUUGAACAAUCAUUGCCAAUCAUGAAGGGAACUGCAGAUAUUAACCCUUGGUGUUCACUGCUUGACAUCAUCACUGUGCUUCAUCCGUGACUUCAUAACUGUACAUCAUGCGUGACGGCAUUACUUUCCUUCAUGCGUGACUUCAUCAAUGUCAAUCAUGCGUGACUUCAUUACUCCACAUCAUUCGUGACUUCAUUACUCCACAUCAUGCAUGACGUCAUCACUGUACAUCAUCCGUGUACAUCACUGUACACUCCAACAUUGUCUCACUUUUUUUUUCGCCCUCAAUUUAGGUGAUGCCAUCAUCUGCAUUGAGUUCAAACAUUCUUCUGAAUCAUCUCCAGCCUUAACUGUGAGCAUAGACCCUUCCACCUCAUCAACUCAAGGACUUGGUCAAUCAGAAAUCGGGUUCAUUUUUUUUCCAUUCAUCCUUCACUCCCUACCAGCUUACGAACCCCACUUGCAGAUUGAAUGAGAAGAACUUCAACAAAGAUCUAAUUCAAAUCCUGCCCUUCAAACAUUUACUGUCAUUAUUUGAAAUUUCUCUUCUCAUUGAUACACCUGAAGGAAGGUCCCUUUCCAUGUUUCUCUUACCUUGAUUUUUCAUUUCACUGCAGCAUCCAACCCUCCACAAUUCAAUUAUUCCAGACCCAGAAGCAAACACAUCAACAAUGACUGCAUUCUGCCAUCCCGUUCCCAUGAUUUCACAAUCAUUGUGUUGUACUUCAGUCGGUUGUCCAUAUUAUUUGAUUCAGGAGGUCACAGUACAAGCCGAUGAAACCUCAGCUGCUCCUGUGUGAAGCGGGGCCAUCGCUGUAAAAUACAAAACACACAGGAAAUGCCGCUUUGUGUGGAGGCGCGGCAGUGAUGGUCAUGUUUAACCCUCGACCAGUCAAAGAUCCCCGGUGGGUUGAACACGGCAAGGUAAGCCUUGGUCUUAUUUGCUGUCUCUAACCUGUCUCUCUCUCUCUUCACAUUUCUUCCUGCCCGCUCCUCCCUCCUCCCCCUCCCCCACUAUCCUCCUCUCUCUCCCCCUCACUCUCACCCUCCCCUCACUCCAUCUCUCGCCCCCCCAUCUCUCUGCCCCCUCUCUUAGUAUUUUCCUCUGGUAUCUAAGGACGUCUCCACUCAUGGCUCACAGACUUCCUCUCCUGUCGCAGCCAACGAGUGGCCCUUAAUGGAGUUCUCUCUUCCGCUAUUCCUGUCCAGGCUGGAGUUCCUCAAGACAGUGUUCUGGGCCCUGUUCUUUUUCUGGUUUCAUCAACAAUCUCUCAGAGUCUGUAAAAUCCUCUUUAUCUCUUUGCUGAUGACUCCACCCUCUGCCAUGCCAUCUGUCACCCCUCAUAUCAGCAAGCAGCCGCCUCUUCACACUGCAGAUCUGGAUGAAAUCACAAGCUUGUCCAACACAUGGAACAAAUCUUUCAAUCCUAACAAAUCUCACACUCUCAUUCUCUCUCCGAAAGGCCUGUCUGGAAGCCCCCCCUCUCCCUCCAAUCUACUUUCUCAACAAUCCUCUUGAAGAAGUCCUUUAAUUCAAGCUUCUGGGUCUCACUGUGUGCCAUGAUCUUUCCUGGGAAAGCCACAUUUCCAAGCUGGCCUCCAAAGCCACUCACCAACUGGGCAUCCUCCGUUGAGCAAAGUUAUUCCUUGGCAUCCCUGAGCUCCUGACCACAUACAAAGCCUUCAUCUGCAGCUUGAUGUAGUACUGCUCUCCCCACUGGGCUGGUGCUCCCGUUUUUCACGUUUCU
rnacentral:lncRNA from 1 species